UGUCUCUUGCCUCGGUGCCUGGGUGGCUUGCCGCCCACAAAUAAGUAGAAUCUGGCUAGUGUGUGUAAGAAUAACAAAUUCAACAGAACCAAACAAAAUUCACUCCAAUAAUUCCAUUUUAUUUUAAGUAUCAAAACUCAUUAUUUAACAAAUACCACAUAGUGGUUUCAUGACUUCUGUGGCUAAACAGGCUAGAACCUCCACACCCCAAGAGAUUAGAGCCUUCAUCCAGCGCUUUGGACUGCUUAGCCACUUUGCCUCCACGAAAAGCAAUUAUUUUAGAACGUUGUGUAUAUUACCUUCUCUAUUCCCUUUUAACAUACACUCAUCAGGAAUUUCAUGUCCUCCAAACUGGCAAAAGUAGAGUUAAAAUUGUGUGCACAGACCGUCUCAAAGAUUCCCACCUGCCAAACAUCCAUCCUGAUUAUCUACCCUGUUAUGAGUCCUCCCAGAUAUUGAGAAAAGACAGAAUUCUUUUCGGGACGUUCAUUGCCCCUCUCUCCAGCCAACCAGGACCCAGGAGACCCGAGUUUCGGUCCCAGCGCUGUCUUUUAUGUUACCCGGGUGUGAAGCAGGAGGUAGCCUUUACACCUGGGAGAAUAAAAUCCAUUCGCUUCUAGAAAAAUCAGUCAUCGAGAAAACGCUUGAAAACCCCCAUGGACGACCUGGCUCUGGGACUGAAACGGCGCUUAGUUGACGUCUCAUUUUUGCCGGCUGCGUUUAGGAGUAGGCAGCAGAGAGUUAUUUUUAAUGUGCACAACCAGAAAACAGAGGACGUCCCCAUCCCCAGCCCCAGCCUCCCAUCUACCCACCUAGGAUUCGAGUGCCUGCUUUUUAAUAAAGUCCUUACUAUGAAAGACGUGGAAAGAAACGUCUGUACAGACAGAUCUACUUUUUGCUCAAUGUGUUCAGGGCCUUAAUUCCCAAAGUCCAGGACGGGAAUCCUUUUGCGUUAUGCGUGUCUUCGCAUACUACCGGGCCCAGAGAGGCUGUGUCCUGCCCUCUCCAACCCCACGAAAGCGUUCUGGGCGGGUCCCGGGUCUCCCCUCCCCAGUCCCAACCUCCUUGUCCCUCAACCCUCAGUCGUCUCAGUCCCCGCCUGCCCUGGGUGCCCUGGGCCCCGCAGACGCACCUGAAUUCCCCCGGCCCUACGUAGGGCCUGCUCCUGGACGCGGAGCCGAAAUCGGUUCAAAGCCUGCGGGCGGGGCUCCUUGCAGGUCCCCGAAAGAAUGAGAACCGGGACCCCCCCCCCCACCACCGGGACGUGGAAGGACGGGUUACAGAGGAGAACGCGUUAUCUCCUCUGGGAGGCGAUUUUCAGAACUUACUGCGGGAAAAAAAAAAAAAAAAGAAAAGAAAAAAGAAAGAACCCCCCCCCCCAAAAAAAAAACAAGCCCAAGAGGAGCAGAAGAAAACAAAGGGUGGGAGAAAACUGGGACAAAUUACUUUUUCUUGGUCAGUCUUCAAGUGUCGACCAAACUCCUUGAGGCCAAAGCAGUGGAGUCCUGCUCCCCGCCCCUCCCCCACCUCCGCACCCCUCCUGAGAGGCCCCACGUGACACAGAACUUUACUGGCCUCUUGAAAAUGACAUCACAAGACCUUAAGAAGAGCUAAACGGGCUGCCACCUGUAGCUGAAGAGUGCCUUAACGCCGAGGCCCACGGCUCCAUGCGAGAGAUGCCUGUUCCUUCUCUGAUAAAUUUGGCAGCUUCACGUACCCUAAGUUUUUGCAUUUCUGACAACCACGUGUCCUCACCUGGACCCGCCAACCCAUCCUGUGGCCUCCACCCAGGAACUGACUCAGCAUGAGAGGACAGCCUCAAUUCCCCAUGAUUUCAUCUCCAACCCAACCAAUCAGCUUGCCCCCUACCCUGGUCCCCUGCCCACCAAACUGUCUUUGAAAAACCCAUAACCUCCAUGCCUUCAGGGAGAUAAUUUGAGUACUAACGCCAUCUCCCAUGGGGCAUGGCCGACCUCGUGUCUAUUAAACUCUUUCUUUACUGCAAUGUUGUGGUCUUUCUGGGUGCAGUGGACAGGAAGGACUCCUUGGGAAGUUACACACCUAUCCCCACAAUGGUGUAACUCUGUGAAGUUGUCCCAUGAAUCGCCCUUGGCUGUUUGGAGACAUCUAGUAGAUUACACCACCAUUCCAUUCCCAGCAGCUAAUAACUGACGGAUGGGGGAAGGAGUAUAAAAGUCAAGUCCCUUGACUCAGUGACCACUCUGCUAUGCAAUUUAUAUUCCAGAGCCCCUGUCUCAUGGGUCAGGCCAAAGCUAGACUUUAUGUGAGACCACAUCUUUGUUUUGUUACUUGUUCUUCC
rnacentral:lncRNA from 10 species